UACGUAGGGGGCAAGCGUUGUCCGGAAUCAUUGGGCGUAAAGAGCGUGUAGGCGGCCUGGUAAGUCCGCUGUGAAAGUCCAGGGCUCAUCCCUGGAAUGCCGGUGGAAACUGUCAGGCUCGAGUCCGGAAGAGGCGAGUGGAAUUCCUGGUGUAGCGGUGAAAUGCGCAGAUAUCAGGAGGAACACCAAUGGCGAAGGCAGCUCGCUGGGACGGUACUGACGCUGAGACGCGAAAGCGUGGGGAGCGAACAGG
rnacentral:rRNA from 1 species